UACGGCCACGUCAUGUUGCAACACCAGUUCCUGUACGAUCGCCGAAGUUAAGCAAAGUCGAGCUUGGUCAGUAGCUAGAUGGGUGGACGCUUGGGGAUACCAUGUGCUGUAAG